rnacentral:rRNA from 1 species
AGUUUGACCGCGGAUCAGGUAGGGAUACCCGCUGAACUUAAGCAUAUCAAUAAGCGGAGGAAAAGAAACCAACAGGGAUUGCUCUAGUAACGGCGAGUGAAGCAGCAAUAGCUCAAAUUUGAAAUCUGGCGUCUUCGACGUCCGAGUUGUAAUUUGUAGAGGAUGCUUCUGAGUAACCACCGACCUAAGUUCCUUGGAACAGGACGUCAUAGAGGGUGAGAAUCCCGUAUGCGGUCGGAAAGGUGCUCUAUACGUAGCUCCUUCGACGAGUCGAGUUGUUUGGGAAUGCAGCUCUAAAUGGGUGGUAAAUUUCUUCUAAAGCUAAAUAUUGGCCAGAGACCGAUAGCGCACAAGUAGAGUGAUCGAAAGAUGAAAAGCACUUUGGAAAGAGAGUUAAAAAGCACGUGAAAUUGUUAAAAGGGAAGGGAUUGCAACCAGACUUGCUCGCGGUGUUCCGCCGGUCUCCUGACCGGUCUACUCGCCGCGUUGCAGGCCAGCAUCGUCUGGUGCCGCUGGAUAAGACUUGAGGAAUGUAGCUCCCUCGGGAGUGUUAUAGCCUCUUGUGAUGCAGCGAGCGCCGGGCGAGGUCCGCGCUUCGGCUAGGAUGCUGGCGUAAUGGUCGUAAUCCGCCCGUCUUGAAACACGGACCAAGGAGUCUAACAUCUAUGCGAGUGUUCGGGUGUCAAACCCCUACGCGUAAUGAAAGUGAACGGAGGUGAGAACCGCAAGGUGCAUCAUCGACCGAUCCUGAUGUCUUCGGAUGGAUUUGAGUAAGAGCAUAGCUGUUGGGACCCGAAAGAUGGUGAACUAUGCCUGAAUAGGGUGAAGCCAGAGGAAACUCUGGUGGAGGCUCGCAGCGGUUCUGACGUGCAAAUCGAUCG